AAGCGUUGUCCCCCAGACUCGCCCACAGGGCUCAGCCAGCACAUGUGCUGGUGUACUCCCUGCUGGGCGGGCCAGCAUCGGUUUGGGCGGCCGCUGAAAGGCCCCGGGAAUGUAGCACCCUCCGGGGUGCCUUAUAGCCCGGAGUGACAUGCGACCUGCCUGGACCGAGGCCCGCGCUUCGGCGAGGAUGCUGGCGUAAUGGAGGUCAAC
rnacentral:rRNA from 1 species